ACUUGCAGGUGGAAGAGAAUCUGUAACAAGAUUGGGAAAGAAAGAGGAGACAAAUUUUCUUUUCCAUCCCAUGGGAAAAUAAAGUGUUGAAUUAUCAUCUGGAAACUGGGAAGAACCAACAUGAGCAACGAGAGGCCAGUGAACCCUAGUUCGUCUCCACUGACUGAGGGCCUGAAGAGAAAGAGAGGAAGACCAAAGAAGCAGCCACGGGAGGAAGCUGGGGGACAAUUGCUGGUGAAGAAACCACGAGGAAGGCCAAAAGGAAGCAAGAAAGCGAGCACUGUAAUUGGACAAAUGGUAGAACCUCCUGCUGGAAAAAGGCCAAGAGGGAGGCCCCGCAAGUGGCCCCAGCUAGUGAUCCGAGAAGGAACGUCUGAGGAAGGAAGUCCUCAGGGAAGCAGUGACUUGAAUUUGAACUCAGCGCCUGCCACACAAGGUUUGAAAUUAGAUAAUUGUAAUUACACUGGGCUAAACUGUGGAACCAUGCUCCUAGCAAACCAUGCAUGUACCCCCAAGGCUGUAGCACUGGCUGCAAUCUUUCUGGUAAACCCUACAAAUAGAGGAGUGUUUGGAAGGCUUCCAGAAACACAAGGAAGAGUAGCACGUUGCUUCCAUCUAAUUUGGUGA
rnacentral:lncRNA from 1 species